ensembl:snRNA U1 U1 spliceosomal RNA
AUACUUACCUGGCUGGGGAGAUACCAUGAUCACGAAGGUGGUUUUCCCAGGGCGAGGCUCAUCCAUUACACUCCAAUUAUGCUGACCCCCGCUGCUUUCCCAGAUGUGGGAAACUCGACCGCAUAAUUUGUGAUAGUGGGGGCUGCGUACGCGCUUUUCCCUG